rnacentral:rRNA from 1 species
AUUGAACGCUAGCGGGAUGCUUUACACAUGCAAGUCGAACGGCAGCGCGGACUUCGGUCUGGCGGCGAGUGGCGAACGGGUGAGUAAUGUAUCGGAACGUGCCCAGUAGCGGGGGAUAACUACGCGAAAGCGUAGCUAAUACCGCAUACGCCCUACGGGGAAAAGAGGGGGUUGUUAGGACUUGCAACAAUUGGGGGGCCGAUAUCGGAUUAGCUAGUUGGUGAGGUAACGGGUCACCAAGGCGACGAUCCGUAGCUGGUUUGAGAGGACGACCAGCCACACUGGGACUGAGACACGGCCCAGACUCCUACGGGAGGCAGCAGUGGGGAAUUUUGGACAAUGGGGGGAACCCUGAUCCAGCCAUCCCGCGUGUGCGAUGAAGGCCUUCGGGUUGUAAAGCACUUUUGGCAGGAAAGAAACGUCGCGGGCUAAUACCCCGUGGAACUGACGGUACCUGCAGAAUAAGCACCGGCUAACUACGUG